GACGAACGCUGGCGGCGUGCUUAACACAUGCAAGUCGAACGAGGUCCAUGGAGUAGCAAUACUCCGGAAGACCUAGUGGCGAACGGGUGCGUAACACGUGAGGAACUUGUCCCGGUCUCUGGGAUAACUCUCCGAAAGGAGGGCUAAUACCGCAUAUUCUGUGCGCAGGAAAGCGGGGGACCGCAAGGCCUAGCGCUGGUGGAGCGGCCGGUGCCAGAUUAGCUAGUUGGUGGGGUAAAGGCCUACCAAGGCGACGAUCUGUAGCGGGUCUGAGAGGAUGAUCCGCCACACUGGGACUGAGACACGGCCCAGACUCCUACGGGAGGCAGCAGUGGGGAAUUUUGGACAAUGGGGGCAACCCUGAUCCAGCCAUGCCGCGUGAGUGAAGAAGGCCUUCGGGUUGUAAAGCUCUUUCGGCCGGGAAGAAAUCGCAUCUCCUAAUACGGGGUGUGGAUGACGGUACCGGAAUAAGAAGCACCGGCUAACUACGUGCCAGCCGCCGCAGUAAAAC
rnacentral:rRNA from 1 species